GACGAACGCUGGCGGCGUGCCUAAUACAUGCAAGUAGGACGCAGUUGCGAACGGGUGAGUAACGCGUAGGUCACUGCCUAUUAGAGGGGGCUAACUACUGUAAACGAUAGCUAAUACCGCAUCCUAGUAGAUUGACCUGCGUUGUAUUAGGUAGUAGGUAGGGUAAUGGCCUACCUAGGCGAUGAUACAUAGCCGACCUGGGAGGGUGGUCGGGCACAAUGGGACUGAGACACGGCCCAGACUCCUACGGGAGGCAGCAGUAGGGAAUCAUCGGCAAUGGGGGGAACCCUGACCGAGCAACGCCGCGUGAGUGAAGAAGGUUUUCGGGUCGUAAAGCUCUGUUGUUAAGGAAGCGGUACUUAACCAGAAAGGGACGGCUAACUACGUGCCAGCAGCCGCGGUAAUAC
rnacentral:rRNA from 1 species